rnacentral:lncRNA from 1 species
GCCAGCAGUGGAUCCAAACUCUCGACGUAACCCUAAUCUGAUUAGAUUAGAUCAGCUCAAGAGUCCCAAUCAACUAGGACUCUUCUUAAUUGAUUCUUAAAUUAAACUCUUUUAAUUCUGAUGAGUUCACAAGUCAGGAUUGAUAUCUAGCAACCUAUCAUGACUAUCCAAAAGAUUUAAAAUUUGGUGAAAAUAUCAAAAUUA